GACGCAUCGUGCCGGCAACGAGGACUUUCUUCGCUCUCUUGCUUUUUGGCAAUCAUUGGCGAAAGUCGCACAUUCUUUGUAAAUCUCUUUUUUUGAUUAAAAUAGUUUUCGUUAGUGAAAAGUGUGUGAGCUAUCGAGGACCUUCUUUUGGAUGUGAUUUUCUUUAAUAGAAAAAAACCAUUUUGAGGAAAGUAAUGGAGACGAAGUUUUAAACAAUAUAGAAAGUAGCGACACUUUAACAAAUAUUGCUGAAGCAUUCAAAGAAAAUAAUGAUUUUGUUUUAGAGGAAAUACCAGAAAAUAUUAUUGAAAAUAAUUAACUCUCAGGCAAUCGAGAGCAAGAUUUUAAUGCGGUAGAGGGAGAAUUACAAUCGUUCAAUGAGCAUGAAACUAGAAGUCCUACGGAUGAUAUUGAAUUUAUAGAUAAAACACGUGAGAGUCCAAAUGAAGUUAAAAUAUUAAAAACAAAAAAAAUAAUAAACAUAGGCAGGAGAAUUUGCCGACUUUCAAAAGUCGAUUGCAUGCAGUACAAAAAGUGUCAGUAAAUUCACCUCAGUUUUAGCUGACGUAAUUUUUCAAAAAAAGGAACUUGCUUCAUCCUCAUUAACCGGGAAAAUCUGCUAUGCCAAUAUAAAUAAAAACUGUCCUCCAUUAUCUCAACUUGAUGAAAAGUGUGUCGAAGAUAUGUUAAAUAUUACAAUGUCAAAAUUCGGGAAAAGCCAGGACGUCCAAAAAUUAUUUAGGAUAUCGCUAAGGACAAAAUUAAGCAAUGCAAGAGGACGAAAAGGGAAACCCUUGCAAAAUAUAAAUUAAUAAUAAAAAUAACCUCGCCAUUG